CCCCUUCCUGGUGUGGAUUGGUAAGGUCGUUCCUCCUUGAUGACCGGAUGUAGAACCCUAUAAAAGGAUUUCGGUAACAUGUUGCAUUUAUAUUGUUUUAAACAACGUUGAUAACACAUCAUCGGAAGAAGAAUUAAGCUGAAAAAAUCUUGUCAUGCAAACUAGAGCCAUCGCCUACUUACUGAUAAGCCUAUUAGUCCUGCAAAUGAUGUCAGAAAUUGCUGGCCGGCCACAUAUGAACUGCUGCAGUUACAGAAAAUGUCCACGAGGUAGAUUGUGCGUAAAUAUUGGUUCUCGUUGUCGUUGCAAAAGUAACCGGGUAAUUUCAAACCCUUUCGUAAUGUUUAUGGAACCUGCUGAAAGACACGCGAAAAACGCGGAGGCGUCUACCUAGAAAGUAGAACUGCAAGACCUAACUUUUAGUGCUGGUUGGUUGGAAAUGUCGGGUAUUUUUCUACUGUGAUAUGAAGUUAACUUACUGUGAUGUUAUUGCUUAACGCAUGCGUGCUCAGAUCUCGUCACACCACGCUGAAUGUGGAUAUGAAUAGUGUUCAUUAAGGUACGAAGUCUACAACAUAAAUAACUGUCGCACGAUGUAUACAUACAGCAAAAUUGAGAUAUUACUUCCACACAAUUUGCUAAGAAAUCCUCACUCUGUGAUAUGCACUUGUCAUUUGAAAUCUAAAUAUUUAAAUGUGAAGUUAUCUUUCUACAAUAAAUUAUAUGUCUUGAAGUCUACACACUGCAGUAUGAACUCUUUUCACUGUGAUAUUAAAUUCUUUAAAGUGGCACUGUGCGUUAUGAACUCAGUUGAACUCAACUCACUGCGAUACUGCAUCUAGACGCUAAAUAUAUACAGCGUAGAGAUCGAAAUUAUGUAAAUAACAAACGCAUAUUAUGUUUUACAUUCUAUUUAUUGUGUUCUAUGAAUUUAGUGCUGUUCAUUCUAUUUAUUUGUUACAUUGUGUUUAAUAUGCCAGAUAAUUUACAUGUUUUUCGUCCAUUUUACAAUACUAUAUUAGAUCUACAUUAUUAUUAAGAAUUAUAUUAUUAAGAAACGAAAUAAAAUCUUGAUUUUG